GCAAACUUGCUGUUAGCUCUUAUCCUUAAAUUCUCUCUUAGGGUGAGAUGAGAAAAAAGUGAGGCGGCAAGUGAACAGCAAGAGAAUGGACAAAAGGUUGCAUACAUGCCAAACACAAGGCCAACAGAGAUGCCUUCCCAAGCGCUUGACCAUUUACCGCCAAUAGAAGUAAUUGCAUCAGAAGAAAUCUCAGCAGCUGCUUGCAAUGAUUAUGCAGAUCGAUUGGAACUACCUCGGCACUACAACAAGAUAUGCAAGAUAAUGGAGGACAAUGUUCACGUAGUAGGAGUUGAGUCAAGCCACAAUUUAAAGAAGCUCGAAG